rnacentral:rRNA from 1 species
AACGAACGCUGGCGGCAGGCUUAACACAUGCAAGUCGAACGCCCCUUUCGGGGGGAGUGGCAGACGGGUGAGUAACGCGUGGGAACGUGCCCUUCAGUUUGGAAUAACCCAGGGAAACUUGGGCUAAUACCGGAUACGCCCUUCGGGGGAAAGAUUUAUCGCUGAAUGAUCGGCCCGCGUCUGAUUAGCUGGUUGGUGAGGUAAUGGCUCACCAAGGCGACGAUCAGUAGCUGGUCUGAGAGGAUGAUCAGCCACAUUGGGACUGAGACACGGCCCAAACUCCUACGGGAGGCAGCAGUGGGGAAUAUUGGACAAUGGGCGCAAGCCUGAUCCAGCCAUGCCGCGUGGAGGAUGAAGGUCCUCUGGAUUGUAAACUUCUUUUAUCUGGGACGAAAAAAGGGAAUUCUUUUCCGACUGACGGUACCAGAUGAAUAAGCACCGGCUAACUC